rnacentral:rRNA from 1 species
CCCUUAGAUGUUCUGGGCCGCACGCGCGCUACACUGAUGAAUGCAACGAGCUCUACUCUUGACCGAAAGGCCCGGGUAAACUUGUGAAACUUCAUCGUGAUGGGGAUAGAUUAUUGCAAUUAUUAAUCUUCAACGAGGAAUUCCUAGUAAGCGCGAGUCAUCAGCUCGCGUUGAUUACGUCCCUGCCCUUUGUACACACCGCCCGUCGCUCCUACCGAUUGAAUGGUCCGGUGAAAUCUUCGGAUUGCUGACCAAGAUCCAGCAAUGGAGCUUGGUUGCGAGAAGUUGAUUAAACCUUAUUAUUUAGAGGAAGGAGAAGUCGUAACA